rnacentral:rRNA from 1 species
ACCCCGGGAGGGGAGUGAAAUAGAUCCUGAAACCGCAUGCAUACAAAAAGUCGGAGCCGCAAGGUGACGGCGUACCUUUUGUAUAAUGGGUCAGCGAGUUACUUUGACGAGCAAGCCUAAGCCGUUAGGCGUAAGCGAAGCGAAAGCGAGUCUGAAUAGGGCGUUUAGUUCGUUUGAGUAGACCCGAAACCGGGUGAUCUAGCCAUGGGCAGGUUGAAGGUACGGUAACACGUACUGAAGGACCGAACCCACGUCUGUUGAAAAAGACGGGGAUGACCUGUGGCUAGGGGUGAAAGGCCAAUCAAACCCGGAGAUAGCUGGUUCUCUGCGAAAACUAUUUAGGUAGUGCGUCGUGUAUUACCGUCGGGGGUAGAGCACUGGAUGGGCUAGGGGGGCGCGAGCCUUACCAAACCUAACCAAACUCCGAAUACCGGCGAGUACAGCACGGCAGACAGACUAUGGGUGCUAAGGUCCAUAGUCGAGAGGGAAACAGCCCAGACCUCCAGCUAAGGUCCCUAAAUUGUGGCUAAGUGGGAAAGGAUGUGGGAAGGCCAAGACAGCCAGGAGGUUGGCUUAGAAGCAGCCAUCCUUUAAAG